GGCUCGUUGGUCUAGGGGUAUGAUUCCUGCGUAGGGUGCAGGAGGUCCCGGGUUCAAAUCCCGGACGAGCCC
rnacentral:tRNA from 1 species